rnacentral:rRNA from 1 species
CCUUGUACACACCGCCCGUCACACCAUGGAAGCCCGUUGUACCGGGGAAGCCGGUGCGCCAACCCGUAAGGGAGGUAGCCGUUCAUGGUAUGACUGGUGACUGGGGUG